ACCAGACUUGCAGUAGGUGAGUGAUGGGGUGACGCAGGAAGGUAGUCCAUCCCGGGCGGUGGUUGUCCCGGGGUAAGGGUGUAGGCCGUGCGAUAGGUAAAUCCGUCGCACAUGAGGCUGAGACCUGAUGCCGAGCCGAUUGUGGUGAAGUGGAUGAUCCUAUGCUGUCGAGAAAAGCCUCUAGCGAGUUUCAUGGCGGCCCGUACCCUAAACCGACUCAGGUGGUCAGGUAGAGAAUACCGAGGCGUUCGGGUGAACUAUGGUUAAGGAACUCGGCAAAAUGCCCCCGUAACUUCGGGAGAAGGGGGGCCAUCACUGGUGAUCCGAUUUACUCGGUGAGCUGGGGGUGGCCGCAGAGACCAGCGAGAAGCGACUGUUUACUAAAAACACAGGUCCGUGCGAAGCCGUAAGGCGAUGUAUACGGACUGACGCCUGCCCGGUGCUGGAACGUUAAGGGGACCGGUUAGUCACUCUUCGGGGUGGCGAAGCUGAGAACUUAAGCGCCAGUAAACGGCGGUGGUAACUAUAACCAUCCUAAGGUAGCGAAAUUCCUUGUCGGGUAAGUUCCGACCUGCACGAAUGGCGUAACGACUUCUCGACUGUCUCAACCAUAGGCCCGGUGAAAUUGCACUACGAGUAAAGAUGCUCGUUUCGCGCAGCAGGACGGAAAGACCCCGGGACCUUUACUACAGUUUGAUAUUGGUGUUCGGUUCGGCUUGUGUAGGAUAGCUGGGAGACUGUGAAGCUCGGACGCCAGUUCGGGUGGAGUCGUCGUUGAAAUACCAGUCUGGUCGUGCUGGAUGUCUAACCCGGGUCCGUGAUCCGGAUCGGGGACAGUGUCUGAUGGGUAGUUUAACUGGGGCGGUUGCCUCCCAAAGGGUAACGGAGGCGCCCAAAGGUUCCCUCAGCCUGGUUGGCAAUCAGGUGGUGAGUGUAAGUGCACAAGGGAGCUUGACUGUGAGACCGACGGGUCGAGCAGGGACGAAAGUCGGGACUAGUGAUCCGGCGGUGGCUUGUGGAAGCGCCGUCGCUCAACGGAUAAAAGGUACCCCGGGGAUAACAGGCUGAUCUUCCCCAAGAGUCCAUAUCGACGGGAUGGUUUGGCACCUCGAUGUCGGCUCGUCGCAUCCUGGGGCUGGAGUCGGUCCCAAGGGUUGGGCUGUUCGCCCAUUAAAGCGGUACGCGAGCUGGGUUUAGAACGUCGUGAGACAGUUCGGUCCCUAUCCGCUGCGCGCGCAGGAAUAUUGAGAAGGGCUGUCCCUAGUACGAGAGGACCGGGACGGACGAACCUCUGGUGUGCCAGUUGUUCUGCCAAGGGCAUGGCUGGUUGGCUACGUUCGGGAGGGAUAACCGCUGAAAGCAUCUAAGCGGGAAGCCUGCUUCGAGAUGAGUAUUCCCACCCACUUGAUGGGGUAAGGCUCCCAGUAGACGACUGGGUUGAUAGGCCAGAUAUGGAAGCCUGGUAACGGGUGGAGUUGACUGGUACUAAUAGGCCGAGGGCUUGUCCUC
rnacentral:rRNA from 2 species